GGGUUACGUCUGGUCUGAACCUCGGUGCAGGGCGGGCCGUUUCAGCGUCGCGGAGCUCGUUCCCCACCCCCGCUCUUUUCCUGCAGCUUCCUGUAUCGCCCGAUCUUUAAUGAAACCAAAGAGAGGACACCGUCCCCGUCGAGAGCAGCCUGGUCGGGAGCGUAACUGAGUGGCCGGUGGACGAGAAAGGAAAGCCGCUGUAAGCCUGAGUUUUCCUGCCCUUGAGCCAUUCUAGAUGCGUGUGCGCAUGUUCACGUGGCACCACCUGUAUGUGGUAGUCAGAGGACAACUUGAGGGAGUCAUUUUCCUCUUUCCACCAGUGGGUCCCAGGGACUGAACUCAGGUUGUCAGCCUUGGCAGCAAGAACCCUUACCUACUGAGCCAUCUUGCAAGCCCCCUGGAGCACCAAUUGAAUAGUAAUGGCAAGAAUACAAAGAACAAUUUUCAGUGGUUAAAUCCUGGGAAGGAUACAACAAUAGUAUCUACGGCAGCAGGAUAAAGCUUAGCUCCAGGAGAAGUUAAGCCAGGACACAUGAUAUUUGCUCCACUGAGGACAAAUUUGAUGGCUCCUUUAUCAACCUGCUGAUGUGGCAAGAUAAAAGGAUCUACAAGAGAAGAAAUAAAUUGUAUAAAUUAACAUGACUGAAAACUCAAGAUAAUGGCAAAGAACAUAAACAAGUAUUUUCCAAAAUUAUAGUACUCUUAUGGUUGCAAAAUAAAAGCCAAACCACUGUC